UAAGAUUUCCUGGGUUUUUUAUUCAUUAUUUUCCUUUAUACCUUUAUACCUUUGAAUAUACAUAUAAAGGUUGCCCCCACCCACAGUUUUUUUGUUUUUUUGGUUUUUUUUAGAUAACUCUGGUUAGGCUAAAACACCUGCUAUGGAAACAAGGCUGGUUUUGAACUCACAAAAAUCUGCUUGCCUCAAGCUACUUUGAAAACUUUGGGACUGACAACAUGCCAUGCAGCCACCCCUGCCCACUGAUAAAUGCAUGAAAAUUUAAAAAUUCACCUGUAAUUCCCACAUCUGUAAUCAUCUCGGGUUUUUGGCUGCUGUGGUCACUCGCUUGCUCGACUAUGACUCCUCAGGCCAAAACCCAGUUGGCGUCUAUUGAAUUUUCGAUAACCAUAAG